rnacentral:rRNA from 1 species
AAUGAACGUUGGCGGCGUGGAUUAGGCAUGCAAGUCGAGCGAGAACCCCGCAAGGGGGGACAGCGGCAAACGGGGUAGUAAUGUGUCGGAACGUGCCCAGAGGACGGGGAUAGCGGCGGGAAACUGCCGGUAAUACCCGAUGAUCUCGAGAGAGCAAAGGUGUGAUUCCGCCUUUGGAGCGGCCGACAUGGUAUUAGCUAGUUGGCGGGGUAACGGCCCACCAAGGCUGUGAUGCCUAGGGGAUGUGAGAGCAUGAUCCCCACCAUUGGGACUGAGACACUGCCCAGACACCUACGGGUGGCUGCAGUCGAGAAUCUUCGUCAAUGGGCGAAAGCCUGAACGAGCGACGCCGCGUGUGGGAUGAAGGCCUUUGGGUUGUAAACCACUGUCGAGGGGGAUGAAGGCAUUCAGGUCCUCCUGAAUGUUUGACAGAGCCCUGGAGGAAGCACGGGCUAAGUUCGUGCCAGCCGCCGCGGUAAAAC